rnacentral:rRNA from 1 species
CAGGAUUAGAUACCCUGGUAGUCCACGCCGUAAACGGUGGGCACUAGUUGUGGGGACCUUCCACGGUCUCUGCGACGCAGCUAACGCAUUAAGUGCCCCGCCUGGGGAGUACGAUCGCAAGAUUAAAACUCAAAGGAAUUGACGGGGCCCCGCACAAGCAGCGGAGCAUGCGGCUUAAUUCGACGCAACGCGAAGAACCUUACCAAGGCUUGACAUAUACAGGAAUAUGGCAGAGAUGUCAUAGCCGCAAGGUCUGUAUACAGGUGGUGCAUGGUUGUCGUCAGCUCGUGUCGUGAGAUGUUGGGUUAAGUCCCGCAACGAGCGCAACCCUCGUUCUGUGUUGCCAGCAUUUAGUUGGGGACUCACAGGAGACUGCCGGGGUUAACUCGGAGGAAGGUGGGGAUGACGUCAAAUCAUCAUGCCCCUUAUGUCUUGGGCUGCACGCAUGCUACAAUGGCUGGUACAAACGGCUGCAAUACCGCAAGGUGGAGCGAAUCCGAGAAAGCCAGUCUCAGUUCGGAUUGGGGUCUGCAACUCGACCCCAUGAAGUCGGAGUUGCUAGUAAUCGUAGAUCAGCAACGCUACGGUGAAUACGUUCCCGGGGCUUGUACACACCGCCCGUCACGUCACGAAAGUCGGUAACACCCGAAGUCAGUGGCCCAACC